rnacentral:SRP_RNA from 1 species
GCCGGGCGUGGUGGUGUGUGCCUGUAAUCCCAGCUACUUGGGAGGCUGAGGCAGGAGAAUAGCUUGAACCCGGGAGGCAGAGAUUGCAGUGAGCCGAGAUCGUGCCACUGCACUCCAGCCUGGGUGACAGAGCGAGACUCCGUCUCAAAAGGCAAAAAAAAGAAAUUGAAACUCAUAUUAAAAGUUUCUUUUUCUUUCUUUUCUUUUCUUUUUCUUUUUCUUUUCUUUUUUUUUUUUUUUUUUUUUUGAGGCAGAGUCUUACUCUUGUCGCCCAGGCUGGAAUGCAGUGGCUCAAUCUCGGCUCACUGCAACCUCUGCCUCUCGGGUUCAAGUGAUUAUCCUGCCUCA